rnacentral:lncRNA from 1 species
AGGCUUUGGAAGGCUGCACACUUUCUGUGGAGGUCCUGACCUGUGGGCCGGCUGCCUUAGGAGAUAAGGAGGGAAGAAGCAUCUGGAAAUGAGAACAUGGAGGUGGUUCAGCUCCAGCAGAGGCUUCACAGUUCUCUGUGACAGCAGAAAGAAGAUGGGCUGAAAUGGUGGUUUAUUUCCUAGCCACAAGUAAGAAAAUUCUGGUGUGGGAUCUAUUGUGGGUCAAGGUUUGCACUCUGGACUUGCUGCUGGAUUAUUGCAGGUAGAUCUCUGUGUCCACAUGGUCCUCAGGAGAAUCGGAUAGCUCCGUGUUGGCUCAAAGAAUGUCACUUCAGCUGGAUUUAGUGCAACACCCUGAGGGUGUUGAUGGCCAAUAUUUGCAGGUGUGGCAAAGUCUAGGCAUAGCAGGCUGGACAGAAGAAGGUAGGGGAGAGAAAAGGCCCAAGUGUGUGUCUCCAUACAGUGCAGGGUAUGCCCAGCCCAAACCAUGUGUCUCAUGUGCCUGUGGAGCAACGUCCCAGCUGAUCCUGAGCUGCCAAGUCAUCUGUGAAAACCUUCCCAGGCAAGACCCCUGCCAUAGCCACCAGGUUUCAUAAACAGCCUGAGAUCGGGGUACAGCUUGCAGAGCUGGCCCCCUGGUGUCAGAUACCCUGCAGAGUGUCUGAGUGGAGACGGUUCGGGGGAACACUCCUCGAGUGCGAGGUGACACAGCCCAAGCAGCCAUAAAAAGGAGAGAAAGUGGAAGCUGUGAUGCUCUGUGCAUUUUAGUGACACAGUUAUGAACCUGCUUUAUGGCUGUUGAGUCCUUGGUCUCACUGACACCGCCAAAGUCCAUGUUUCGUUGUGGGCAUUUAGUGUUGUGUUUGAUGCUGCCAUAGGAAUCGGUGUCCUACCUCGUUGCAUCUCCAUUCAUGUAUGACUUCUUUCUGCAGAAGCUAAAGUCUGCAGAUUCCCAGCUAAAAGCCAAGGAGUUUGCAGUACCUCAAGAGCAGCGGUUGAUGAACUACUGGGACAAUGUGGUCGGAGAGGGAAGAGAGGUCAUCCCAGGACCGUGCAGUAAAGUGAACAGGCUUUCUGAUGACAUGCCAGAGAAGAAGCAGAAAGAAAGCUAUCUACCAAAAUCCUACCCUGCAACUGAAGCAACAGCAACCCAGGAGGAGAAGCUGGAGAGGCCACAGGCUCUUACUAAGCUAGAAAAUGAGCUUUCCUGUUCCCAUUGUCUUCCAGCUGCUGUUCAGACUCCUGGAACAGAAGGGAUGUUGCUGCACAAGCAGGAGCUGGAUCGGGGCUGGGCUGCCUACCAGCAAUUCAUCUUGGAGACAUGUCGGGCAAGGCAAUUUAAAGCUCAAGAAAACAAGAGCAUGGUCUUGGGCUCAUCUGUUUUGGGGGAAGAAUGUUUUGACCUUGACUGCAGAACUACCUACAACACAGAUUUCCAGCCCUUGCCUGGAGCCCAUGGUGGACACUGUAAAGCAAAUAGGACUCUCUCUCACAUUUUUGCUGAAGAUGAGUGCUUUAACCAGAACUACUGGGUAUCAGAGUACGAGGACAGCUACAGUGUUUUCUUACGGAGGCUGAACCGGUCAUCUCAAAUCCCCACUGCAGGGCUGUGUUCAGCCGUAAAGCCCAUCUCACAUCUACCCCACAGGCUGUCCUCUCAGAAAGCGAUUGCUGUGGACACAGCCCAGUGAGAGGUGCUACAGCUGUCCAUGGAUGUGUUACCUACACUAUUCUGUGAUUACAGCUCUGUGGCUCUCCAAGUUGUCUGUGUGAUAUUGUCUGUGGGAGACCCUGGAAGCCUGGAAGCACUUUAUCUUCCCAACCUACCAUUGUGGCUAUAGAGUAUUUGUGAAGUGCUUAGCAGAGACCCCUUUACACACAUAUUUUCAUUAAAUCCCCCAAGAACUCUGGCUCUUAUCAGUGUCAGGAAAACACUCUUGUGCAGGGCAAUCCUUGGAGCUAAAAUCACUCAGGCAGUUUCAAUUCAUGUACUCUAAAUAAAACUUGCCAAUAAACUUCA